AAUUUGCUUUCAAGCUACUUGUGGACAGAGGCGGAAGAAGUACUUGUAUUAUCUUGACCCAGUGGGGACGCCGGAGGGUUUGAGUAUGCAACUUACCCCGUCGUGCGUCUGAGAGCAGUCCAGAUCGAGGUCAACAAGUUCUGGAAGCGGUGGAGCCAGCUGGCGGGUCCGGGUCUCUACAUCCGACAGAAGUGGCAGGCGCCUGCUAGAAAUGUUGCGGUGGGGGACCUGGUGUGGUUGGCUGACCAGAACGCGCUGAUGGGCCAGUUCAGGCUGGGUCGAGUCGUGGAGGCGUGUCCUGAUGUGAAGGGUGUAGUACGAGACGUGAGAGUGAGAACAUGCCAGAGCUGUCCGGUUGUCGGCGGGCAGUCCAAGAGAAGCCGUGGUGCUGAGAACUGUCCCUCCACCAUCCUCCACAGGGACGUUAGGAGGCUGGUGGUCGUGCUACCAGUGGAGGAGCAAAUGACCUCCCCACCAUGGUGUGUUUCGGUUGGUAAAGGACAGUAAAGGAGCCCCACCAUGGUGUGUUUCGGUAAAGGAUCAAGGCUCCCCCACCGCCAUUCUCUUAGAGGUUGGUGGUGUGUUUCGGUAAAGGAUAUCAAGAUGUCAUCUCAUCAAAGAUGAUGAGUGUUGGUUAUGGACAUUAAAACUACCUUGAUCCUAUAGUUAUUCAUAUUGUGGCAUUCGUGUUCAAGAGUGCAACGUUAUGUGCAUGGUUAUGGGGUGAAAUUCAUAUAGAAGUUUAACUGUUUGAGCUGGUUAUGGUGGCCUACUUGGAUUCGAGAAUCAGUAGCCCAAGUGGGAGGUGUAGAACUUUCCAGCAGAGGAAACUAUUGCUUUAUAUAUAUAUAUAUAUAUAUAUAUAUAUAUAUAUAUAUAUAUAUAUAUAUAUAUAUAUAUAUAUAUAUAUAUAUAUAUAUAUAUAUUUAUAAGUGAUAGGAAGAGUUAUGUUUAUAUUUAUAUUGUAAUCAAACCAGGUUACUGUAACUGAUUGCUGUAAUAUCUUUCAUGUUAUAUUAAGGUUUAUUUUGUUAUCAUACUUGGUUUCCAACCUGUGUGUGUGUAUAUGCACGACUCGCCACAAGGUGCCUCCCCCUUUUGUUGUUUUCAUUCAAUUGAUGGUCAGGACUGGUACGCCUUGUCGAUGAGUGACUAUAAACUAGGGUGACCAAAAGUCCUCUUUUGCCCGGACAUGUCCUCUUUUUACGUCAUGUCCGGAGCGUCCGGGGGGGUUUUAUAAAUUCAUGGAAACGCCCGGUUUUCACUGUUGGGACCAUUAAGCGUGUACUUAAAUUGACUGGCGCUUCCCCCACCCCCCAACAAUCGCAAGUGUCCUCUUUUUCGCCACCUCAAAUCUGGUCACCCUAUAUAAACUAAGCUAGGUUAAAUCAGGAAUUAAUGUUAAUAUGAACGAGUGCAUAAUUUCAUUGGUUAAUUCGGGUUUUGUUUUGUGUUUGCAUUGCAGGUUUACAACCUAACUAAAUGUCACUAAGUAACUAACAUUACCAACGGGCUAGUGUAGCUGAAACAGUUGGGCUAAUCAGUGGGUGAAUUUAUUGUGUAUGUGCGCAAUAAAACUUCGUAAAGUGA